rnacentral:rRNA from 1 species
AUGCGCCAAGCUUGGAAUCAAGCUCUUGUUCUCUUCGGCAUACCAUCCUCAAACCGACGGCCAAACGGAAGUGACGAACUGUACACUCUCCACUCUACUACGUGUGUUGACAAAGAAGAACAUCAAGGAGUGGGAGGAGUGCCUACCAAUCACCGAGUAUGCCUACAACCGUGCAAGACAUUCGACUACCGGCAAGUCCCCCUUCGAGGUCGUAGUACUCAAAAGAAUCGCCACAAUACACCCGGACAAUUAGAAUUCAAAAAAAUUUGUCGUUAUUGUCGCAAGCAUACGACUCAUCACGAAAUAAAGAAAUAG